AUGCAUCUGUUUGACAGACCUGGAGCAAAUGACCAUUGCUUCUCUGGUUCUUUCUGAGAUGCAACAGUAACGGGUUCCUUGCGCUUUCUGCCUGUCUGACCUCGUGGCAGCUUGGAUUGAAUGAAGGAACACAAAU
rfam:Acanthisitta chloris contig81493, whole genome shotgun sequence.